rnacentral:rRNA from 1 species
UACGGAGGGGGCUAGCGUUGUUCGGAAUUACUGGGCGUAAAGCGCACGUAGGCGGACUGUUAAGUCGGGGGUGAAAUCCUGGGGCUCAACCUCAGAAUUGCCUCCGAUACUGGCAGUCUCGAGUGCGGGAGAGGUGAGUGGAAUUCCCAGUGAUAGAGGUGAAAUUCGUAGAUAUUGGGAAGAACACCAGUGGCGAAGGCGGCUCACUGGCCCGUAACUGACGCUGAGGUGCGAAAGCGUGGGGAGCAAACAGG